rnacentral:tRNA from 1 species
GUUGGUGUGGCAGAGCCAGGUAUAUUGCAAAAGACCUAAGCCCUUUACAUCAGAUGUUCAAAUCAUCUCACCAAUC